rnacentral:rRNA from 2 species
CUAACAAGGAUUCCCCUAGUAACUGCGAGUGAAGCGGGAUGAGCUCAAAUUUAAAAUCUGGCAGCCCUUGCGGUCGCCCGAGUUGUAAUCUAGAGAAGCGUUAUCCGCGCUGGACCGUGUACAAGUCUCUUGGAAAAGAGCAUCAUAGAGGGUGAGAAUCCCGUCUUUGACACGGACGCCCAGGGCUUUUGCGAUGCGCUCUCGAUGAGUCGAGUUGUUUGGGAAUGCAGCUCAAAAUGGGUGGUAAAUUCCAUCUAAAGCUAAAUAUUGGGGAGAGACCGAUAGCGAACAAGUACCGUGAGGGAAAGAUGAAAAGAACUUUGAAAAGAGAGUUAAACAGUACGUGAAAUUGUUGAAAGGGAAACGCUUCAAGUCAGUCGCAUCUGCUGGGGAUCAACCUACUCGCAAGAGUGGGAGCACUUUCCAGUCGAUGGGUCAGCAUCAAUUUCGACCGUUGGAUAAAGGUCAGGGGAAUGUGGCAUCCUCGGAUGUGUUAUAGCCCUUGGUCGCAUACACCGGUUGGGAUUGAGGAACUCAGCACGCCUGCAAAGGCCGGGGGGUUUUACCCUCACGUCACGUGCUUAGGAUGCUGGCAUAAUGGCUUCAAUCGACCCGUCUUGAA